rnacentral:lncRNA from 1 species
GGACCGUUUACAAGUUAAAAGCAUAUUCUCGAAUUGAAGGGGGUAGGGAUGACCCCCCCAGGGACUCCCCUAUAUUUCAUGUGAUUUGUUUUAUUGUCCUUUAAUCAUUUCUGAAGACUGCAUGUAUCUAUCACUUACAGUUUUCAAGUUAUAUUCAUUUGAAAAUUUUAGAAAAUAAAAUCCCAUAGGGUUCUAUAGUAAACCCCUCACUUCUUUCUG